CACCAAAAUUGGUGGGAAUAUUAACUGGGAAGAUUUCUCAAGAUGAUUCACUUUGGGAGAGGAUUGGACAAAGGUCAAGAAAAAUGUGUGAAAAA